rnacentral:rRNA from 1 species
UAACGCGAAGAACCUUACCAGGCCUUGACAUGCAUCUCUAAGUUGGUGAAAGCCAGCGAGUCCCGAAAGGGACAAUUUGCACAGGUGCUGCAUGGCUGUCGUCAGCUCGUGUCGUGAGAUGUUGGGUUAAGUCCCGCAACGAGCGCAACCCUCGUCCUAUGUUGCCAGCGGAUUAUGCCGGGGACUCAUAGGAGACUGCCGGGGUCAACUCGGAGGAAGGUGGGGAUGACGUCAAGUCAUCAUGCCCCUUAUGUCUUGGGCUGCAAACAUGCUACAAUGGCCGGUACAGAGGGCUGCGAGACCGCAAGGUGGAGCGAAUCUCAAAAAGCCGGUCUCAGUUCGGAUUGGGGUCUGCAACUCGACCCCAUGAAGUCGGAGUCGCUAGUAAUCGCAGAUCAGCAACGCUGCGGUGAAUACGUUCCCGGGUCUUGUACACACCGA